rnacentral:rRNA from 1 species
ACGGAAGGCAGCAGUGGGGAAUAUUGGACAAUGGGGGAAACCCUGAUCCAGCGACGCCGCGUGAGUGAAGAAGUAUUUCGGUAUGUAAAGCUCUAUCAGCAGGGAAGAUAAUGACGGUACCUGAAUAAGAAGCCCCGGCUAACUACGUGCCAGCAGCCGCGGCAAUACGUAGGGGGCAAGCGUUAUCCGGAUUUACUGGGUGUAAAGGGAGCGUAGACGGCAAGGCAAGUCUGAUGUGAAAACCCGGGGCUCAACCUCGGGACUGCAUUGGAAACUGUCUGGCUAGAGUGCAGGAGAGGUAAGUGGAAUUCCUAGUGUAGCGGUGAAAUGCGUAGAUAUUAGGAGGAACACCAGUGGCGAAGGCGGCUUACUGGACUGUAACUGACGUUGAGGCUCGAAAGCGUGGGUAGCAAACAGGAUUAGAUACCCUGGUA